rnacentral:misc_RNA from 1 species
GAUGAAGAACGCAGCGAAAUGCGAUAAGUAAUGUGAAUUGCAGAAUUCAGUGAAUCAUCGAAUCUUUGAACGCACCUUGCGCCCUUUGGCUAUUCCGAAGGGCAUGCCUGUUUGAGUAUCAUGAACACCUCAACUCUUCACGGCUUGCCGUGAUGAGUUUGGACUUUGGGGGUCUUGCUGGCCUACGAGCCACCUCCUCUCAAAUGUAUUAGCUUUCCGGUGUUUGGUGGCAUCACAGGUGUGAUAACUAUCUACGCUUGUGGUUUUCCACUAGGUAACCUUCAGCAAUGGAGGUUCACCGGAGCUCACAAAUGUCUCUCCUUGCCAAGGACAGAUUUUGACCAUUUGAUCUCAAAUCAGGUAGGACUACCCGCUGAACUUAAGCAUAUCAAUAAGCGGAGGA